UUAAAUAGAAAGUUUGAUUUUUUUGGAAAUUUUAAAUCAAAAGUUUUGGGACUCCAGUACUUGCUUCAACAAUACAAAUGCUAUUCAGCUAAUCUUUGUAUCUUUAGAAUAAGCACUCAGUAAUUCUUAACUAUUCCUGUUUAGUAUUUUUACCAAGAUUAAUUUUUUUAAGAUUAAGCCACCCCUCCAAAAAAAAGAUUAAGCCCUCAAAUUAUGAUUCGUUUCUCACUGUCAUUUCAGUUGAAGGAAACUGAAGAUGUAUAUGCAAUGCCAUGUAUAUAAGGUCUGGUACAUUAAGGAGACCACCAUGUCAGAUUUCCAGGAGCCAUUCUAAAUGAUCUCAUUCAAAUUGCCGUCCUUUAUCAUGGCAACAGUGACUUCAGUUACCACAGGGAAACACAACAAGAUGCGGCAACUGAACACCAGAGAUGCAAGAUGAGUUUUUGGAAAUCAGGCAAUUAAUUAGCAGCAGAACGAAGCCCUUUUCCUUGGAAGAAUCCAAGUGGACUGUGGAAACUUCUAGAAUCUACAUGUCUACCCCUCAAACAUGGAGCAACUGACAGAGGCCACAGAAGCCAGAGUUAAGAAACCGUAAGCAAAGGGAGGGGAGGACCCUUGCCCUAUUCCAGCUCCAGCCCAAUGCCAAGCUCUUGGAGCUGAGUAACCACCUGUUGAUUGAUCGUUACCGUGGCAAGAGCCUCCGAAAGAGCAUGAACAAACAAGUGAGGAGACUGAGCACAGAGAGUGAAGCGAUUUGGCACAGGUCAAACCACUGUUACGAGGAGGAGGAGGGACGCAAGCUCCACCCCCCUGACCGCAGAGCCUGGGCAGGAAAUCACCACUUUCACUGAUGUUAUUCUGUCACUUUCAUAUCCACGAAAUGAAUAGGCAUUUACAGGGGAAGAUGUACAAUAUGGAUAUAAAAUAACAAUCAGAAUCAUUUAUUACUUACCUGCUCUGGUGGUACUGACAACAGAAUAAAAGGAAUCACAUCAACAAUAAUAAAAAACUUUGCCUAGAGGGAAAUAGACAUAUGAAGUAACACCAUAAACAGAUAUUCUGUAUUUUCUUUUUUACGAUUCUACUCCUUUUGUCCCAUUUUACUUGACAUAUGGCUCACUUCAUAAGAACGUUUAAAUAUUGAUUUCCGAAUAGCUUCACUUACUUGGUCCUAAAACAAUAUUAACAGACCAUGUAGCUUCCGGAAGGAUCUGUUCUGCUGUUUCUGUAAA